AUAGCGUAUACUAAAGUUGUUGCAGUUAAAAAGCUCGUAGUUGAACCUUGGGCCUGGCUGACCGGUCUGCCUCACCGCAUGCACUGGUUUGGCCGGGCCUUUCCUUCUGGCUAGCCGCAUGCCCUUUACUGGGUGUGUUGGGGAACCAGGACUUUUACUUUGAAAAAAUUAGAGUGUUCAAAGCAGGCAUAUGCUCGGAUACAUUAGCAUGGAAUAAUAGAAUAGGACGUGUGGUUCUAUUUUGUUGGUUUCUAGGACCACCGUAAUGAUUAAUAGGGAUAGUCGGGGGCAUCAGUAUUCAAUCGUCAGAGGUGAAAUUCUUGGAUUGAUUGAAGACUAACUACUG
rnacentral:rRNA from 1 species